UACGUAGGGUGCAAGCGUUGUCCGGAAUUAUUGGGCGUAAAGAGCUCGUAGGCGGUCUGUUGCGUCGGCUGUGAAAACCCGGGGCUCAACUCCGGGCCUGCAGCCGAUACGGGCAGACUAGAGUUCGGCAGGGGAGACUGGAAUUCCUGGUGUAGCGGUGAAAUGCGCAGAUAUCAGGAGGAACACCGAUGGCGAAGGCGGCAUCCUGGACCGGCAUUGACGCUGAGGAGCGAAAGCCAGGGGAGCAAACGGG
rnacentral:rRNA from 1 species